AGAGUUUGAUCCUGGCUCAGGACGAACGCUGGCGGCGUGCUUAACACAUGCAAGUCGAGCGGAAAGGCCCUUCGGGGUACUCGAGCGGCGAACGGGUGAGUAACACGUGAGUAACCUGCCCCUGACUCUGGGAUAAGCCCGGGAAACUGGGUCUAAUACCGGAUACGACCACUUCAGGCAUCUGAUGGUGGUGGAAAGAUUUCUUGGUUGGGGAUGGACUCGCGGCCUAUCAGCUUGUUGGUGGGGUAGUGGCCUACCAAGGCGACGACGGGUAGCCGGCCUGAGAGGGCGACCGGCCACACUGGGACUGAGACACGGCCCAGACUCCUACGGGAGGCAGCAGUGGGGAAUAUUGCGCAAUGGGCGGAAGCCUGACGCAGCGACGCCGCGUGGGGGAUGACGGCCUUCGGGUUGUAAACCUCUUUCAGCAGGGACGAAGUUGACGUGUACCUGCAGAAGAAGCGCCGGCUAACUACGUGCCAGCCGCCGCGGUAAUAC
rnacentral:rRNA from 1 species